UUUUCAGAGAUGAGAAUGUGCCUUCGGGAACCGUGAGACAGGUGCUGCAUGGCUGUCGUCAGCUCGUGUUGUGAAAUGUUGGGUUAAGUCCCGCAACGAGCGCAACCCUUAUCCUUUGUUGCCAGCGGUCCGGCCGGGAACUCAAAGGAGACUGCCAGUGAUAAACUGGAGGAAGGUGGGGAUGACGUCAAGUCAUCAUGGCCCUUACGACCAGGGCUACACACGUGCUACAAUGGCGCAUACAAAGAGAAGCGACCUCGC
rnacentral:rRNA from 1 species